rnacentral:lncRNA from 1 species
AGGUCGGGGAAGUGGCUCCAAACUUUCACCUUGCCAGUCCUUGCUAGUAGUUCUCAAAGGCGACCUCCACUUUGAUUGCCUGGAGCUCCGUAGAGGAAUAGAAAGCUUCAACCAUGGCAACCUUUGCAAUUUCUAAUUUCUUCUCUCACUUGCUGGUCUCCGUAGACAUCGAACUUCAGUGUCACCUCAGGUCUUGGUGAGUUUAGCUUCUAGGUGCAUCACCUUGGCCUUCAAUGAUUUGACCUCCUCCUCAGCCUUAAUUUUGGAGAGCACAGCAUUGUCUACCCUCCUAUUGGCCU